rnacentral:tRNA from 1 species
GGUCGUGUGCCCGGGUGGUCAUGGAGCGGUCUGCAAAACCGCGUACGCCGGUUCGAUUCCGGUCACGGCCU